rnacentral:lncRNA from 1 species
CGGGGUAUGCGGUUAAUCCAAUGUGCAUGGUGCACAGUUAAUGGAUUAUAUACUAUAUGAUUAAAUCAACAUUGUAUCAAAUUAUUUUAUCUUGGUACAUAGUUAAGGUAUCAUGGUAUAUCGUUAAACAUGAUAAAUAGUUGUUGCAGCGAAAAUCCAUCUUUGGUUCAGAUUGACUGGAGCCAGGCAGUGAUUGCGGAUCGACGAUGGUGGUGGUGGAACCUAUAAGAAAAGUCUCCAACAAGAGUUGGCUCUAGUGGGGACCCUCCGAUGUUCAAGUUAGAUCUCUGAUACAGAUGGAAAGGAGUGAGCGUGUAGGAAGAAAAGAGGUUUCAUAUUUUGGAGGUCUCUUAUAGAC